rnacentral:rRNA from 1 species
ACACACACAUCCGCCCGGGUACUACGAGCACAGCUUAAAACCCAAAGGACUUGGCGGUGUCUCAGACCCACCUAGAGGAGCCUGUUCUAGAACCGAUAACCCUCGUUAAACCUCACCACUUCUUGUUUUCCCCGCCUAUAUACCGCCGUCGUCAGCUUACCCUGUGAAGGUUUAAUAGUAAGCAAAAUGGGCCCGCCCAAAAACGUCAGGUCGAGGUGUAGCGUACGAAGUGGAAAGAAAUGGGCUACAUUUUCUAUAUACAGAAUAUUACGGACGAUGCAUUGAAAUUAUGCACCCGAAGGUGGAUUUAGUAGUAAAAAGCAAGCAGAGUGUCCCUUUGAACUAGGCUCUGAGACGCGCACACACCGCCCGUCACUCUCCCCAACACCUCAUCCAAACCAUAUCUAAUAAAUUAACUAUAAACACGGGGAGGCAAGUCGUAACAUGGUAAGUGUACCGGAAGGUGCACUUGGAAUAAU